rnacentral:ncRNA from 2 species
AUAAAUCUUCAGGGCGGGGUUUGAUUCCCCACCGGCGGUAUAGCCCGCGAGCCGUAAGGUAUGAUUCGGUGAAACUCCGAAGCCGACAGUAAAGUCUGGAUGAAAGAAGAUAGAU